rnacentral:rRNA from 1 species
AUGUUAGCCAAACAAUGCUGGAGACUCAUUGAGAAUUAUGACUCACUUUGUGCAAAAGUUUUAAGGGCCAGAUAUUAUCCUUCUGGGGAUAUUUUGAACUAUGAAUUGAAGAAGGGCUCAUCCUUUGUGUGGCAAAGUAUUUGGGCAGGAAUACAAACGUUCAAAAAAGGGUGCAUUUGGAGAGUUGGAGAUGGUGCAAAGAUAGAUAUAUGGAGUGACUGCUGGAUUCCUAGUAGUGCAUCGCGGAAAAUUGUUACUGUCCAUGGGAACCAACUACUCACUAAGGUCAGUGACCUCAUCGACCCCUCCUCAGGAGAGUGGGAUGAAUAGCUAAUAAGGGACACUUUCUGGCCUAUAGAUGCUGACCGGAUAUUGCAAAUUCCAUUUUUUUGGCAACAUACAGAGGAUUAUAUAGCAUGGCACUUCAAUAAGAACGGCACUUUCUCGAUUCGCUCAGCGUAUUACAAACAGUGGGAAGAGACUUAUGCCCAGGAAGAUUUGAUGGGGAACUACCGAUCUGGUUCUGGACCACAUCUAGUAUGAAAGAAGGUUUGGAAGCUCAAACUGCCAGGAAAGAUUAAGAUCUUCAUUUGGAGGUGCUUACACAAUGUGCUACCAUGCUUCAGCGUUCUAACUAAUCGGCAUGUUGGUACUAACUCUCAAUGCCCUAUCUGCAAGAUGGACGCGGAAGAUAUACGCCAUGUACUGUUCUCAUGCCCACGUGCUCUAGCUGUUUGGGAAGCCUUGGGCGUUGGCAAUAUUAUCAGGGACGCCAUGUGCAUAGACCGCUCUAGAGCAAUAGAUUUUCUCUUAUGUGAUGAAGCUCAUCAGCGUAUAUACUCAGACCCAAUAGAAUUGCCGGAGAUUAUUGCUGGAACUAGCUGGUACAUCUGGUGGCAGCGGAGACAAUUUGUGCGCGGAGAAACUGUCCACUCGCCAGAACAAACUGCGAUGUCGAUCCGGGCUCUAAGCCUAAAUUUUGUUCGGGCAGCAGGGAAACCGAAGGAGAGACCUCGACUGAACAAGUAG